rnacentral:rRNA from 1 species
UACAGAGGUCUCAAGCGUUGUUCGGAUUCAUUGGGCGUAAAGGGUGUGUAGGUGGCGCGCUAAGUCGGGUGUGAAAUUUCGGAGCUUAACUCCGAAACUGCAUUCGAUACUGGCGUGCUUGAGGACUGGAGAGGAGACUGGAAUUCAUGGUGUAGCAGUGAAAUGCGUAGAGAUCAUGAGGAAGACCAGUGGCGAAGGCGGGUCUCUGGACAGUUCCUGACACUGAGGCGCGAAAGCUAGGGGAGCAAACGGG